UGUUCGGUGACUCGCAUCUCUGCGUCUGAUCCUCACGCCUCGCUCCACCAUACAGAGAUUUCAGCUUCCCAUUCUCUCUCCCUCAUGUCCCUUAUUGCAGGCUUAAAAAUGUGGCCUUCUCAUCUCGUUUUUCCUUUUUUUAUGUUUAUUUUAUUUAGUAGAUACAAACAAAUCCCAGUACAGGAACAUACAGCUGCCGAAAGUUACAGUUAGGUGCUGUAGACUGUCUUUAGCAGGAGAAAAAUACAAGAUUAUAAGAUUAAAAGAUUAAAAGACUUUCUCCCUCCUUGUCUUUCUUCUUUUCUGCCUUUCACCCUCCUCCUAUUCUUUUUUUUUUUUUAUAUCAAUCCUCCUUCUCUUCCUCCUUUCCUCCUUUCUCUCAGUUUUCCUUCUAAUUCUUUUCUCCUAAAUCGACUCUCGUAUUUUUUUUUCUUUCCCAUGUUUUUUUACCCUUCAUUUUUUGGGGUCCUUUCUUCUAAAUCCAACUUCGUUCUCUCUUCUUUCCUCCGUUUUUUCACACUUUUCUUUAUCUAUCUUUCUUUUUCUUCUCCUUUAUCUAUCUUUCUUUUUCUUCUUCCUAAAUCCAUCCUCCUCUUUCAUCAUUCAUUCUUUCCUUCACCUUUCCUUCUUUUCCUUCUUCCUUCCUUCUUUAUCUACCCUUCCUUUCUUUCUUCUUUCGUUCUUUCAUCAUCUCCCUUCUUCCCAACCCCUGACCCCCCCUGACCCCCCCAUCCCUUUCCUUACCUUAUUUUUUUCAAACUUAAACAUCCUUCUUCCUUCUUCUUUUACGUUAUUCCUCUUCUCUAUCUUUCUCUCCACCGUCCUCUCUCUCUCUAUCUCUCUUUUUCUGUCCUUUCCCCUUUCGUUCACUUCUUCCCCUCUUCUCCCCUCCCCUUCCCCUCCCCUCCCCUCCUCUUCCCUUCCAUCACCAGAGUUCAUCAUGUCUACUUUUUUCCUUAGCCUUGACAUCAGAGGAAUUAUACUUUUUUUUUGUCUUGUUUCGUCUUAACGCGAUACUCUUUUUUUCUUCUGGUAAUUUUUUUUUUUUUUUACAUAAUUUUUCUGAUUGAUGAGAGAGAGAGAGAGAGAGAGAGAGAGAGAGAGAGAGAGAGAGAGAGAGAGAGAGAGAGAGAGAGAGAGAGAGAGAGAGAGAGAGAUUCAUCUGGAUAUUUAAUUUAACUUUUUUUCCCUUUUCACGGAUUUCUUUUUCUCUUUUAUUUUCUUCUUUCUUCUCUUCUGUUCGCUUCUCAUCUCCUCUCUUUCGUAGUCUUCUCUUUUCUCUCUUCUCUUUUAUUAUCUUCUCUUUCUCUUCUUUCUUUGAUCUUCUCUUCUCUUAUCAUGUUUCUCGUUUUCUCCUCUUUAAUUUUUUUUCUCCUCUCAUUUUCUCUUCUCUCCUCUUUUCUUCUCUUCCUCGUAAUCAUCUUCAAGUCCGUUCUUUUGAUGCCUCUGAGUAAGUUUUUUUCCUUCAUCUCAUCCUGCCUCCUCCUCCUCCUCCUCCUCCUCCUCCUCUAUUCAGUUUUCUCUUUAAUUCAUCAUCAUUAUCCAGUUAGCGCUUAUUACGCCCUCAUUGCCUGCGAAAGUGGCCGAUAUAUUUCUGUUAUCCGACUAAUCUCGUUCUUUUAUAUUUUUUUGCAAGUUGUUUCGCUUUUGUUCUUUUUCUUAUUGUUAUUGCCGCUGUUGGUGGUUUUGUUGUUGUUGUUGUUGGUGGUGGUGGUGGUGGUGGUGGAAAAUAGCAGCAACAGUAGUAGUAGUAGUAGUAGUAGUAGUAGUAGUAGUAGUAGAAGGGCUAUUUUCAGUUCCCUUUCCCUCUGAACUUACGGUUUUUAAUUCAUUCACAGUCCUAUUUCCAUUUAAUUAGCAAUGUGAUGGACGAGGCAAGGUGAGAGGGAGGAGGAGGGAGGAAGAGGAGAAGGAAGAAAGGAAGGGAGGGAAGGUGGGAAGGAGUGAAAGAGGAAGAGGGAGAAAGUGUGAAAGGAAGAGAGGGGGAGGAAGGAAGAGGAACUGUGGAAGGAAGAGAGGAAGGAAGGGAAGAGGAGAGAGGAGGGAGAGAGGGAGGAAAGAAGGAAGAAAUACAGGUAGGAAAGGUGAGAGGGAGAGACAGAGGGAGUGGGGGAGGGAGGAAGAGGGAGGGAAGAGGGGAGGAAGGAAGGAAGGAAGGAAGGAAGGGAGGGAGAGAUAAAUGGAGAUAAGAAUGGCAUGUGUGAUAAUGGAGGGAUGAUCAGAGGAGGGCAAGGAAUGAGGGAAUUAGGGAGAAAGGAAGGAAAAUCAUGAUACUUAUAUUGUGAGGGAGCCAGGGAGGGAGAGAAUGAAGGGAGGAAGAGAGGAAGGAAGGAAGUGCAUGGAUGGAUGAAGAUGGUCACACGAAGUAGAGGAAAGACAGAGGGAGAUAAAGAAGGAAGGAAAGUUAAGAAGGAAAAAAAUGGGGGUCACACGGAACUGAAAAAAGACAAAGUGAAAUAGAAAGGAAAGAAGGAAAAAAAGGGAGAUUACACAAAAUUGAAGAAAGGCAGAUUGGGGGAAAAAUAAGGGAAGAAAGAAUAGAAGACAAAAAAAAAAGAUGAGGAAGGGGCGAGGGGUUACUUAGAGCCUUAUUUCAACAGUCACGCGAGAGUAUGACAUGGUUAGGUUAGGAUAGAGUAUGCCAAGGUUAGGUUAGGUUAGAGGGAAACAAUGUCAGGUUCGGGUAGAAUAAGAACUGGUUAUAUUAGGUCAGGUUAGGAUAGAGUGAUAUAUUGUCCGGUAUUGUAUUGUUUUGGAAAGGGAAAGGAAAGGGAAGGGAAGGGAAGGGACGGGAAGGGAAGGAAAGGGAGGAAAAGGAAAGAAAAGGAAAGGAAAGUGAAGGAAAAGGAAUGAAAGGGAAAGGAUAGGAACAAAGUAAAAUAUUGUCAAGUUCGCUUAGAGUAAGAAAUGGUUAGGUUAGAUUCGACACUGUUAAGUUCGGUUAGAGUAAGAAAUGGUUAGGUUAGAUUCGACAUUGUUAAGUUCGGUUAGAGUAAGAAAUGGUUAGGUUAGAUAAGGUUAGAUUCGACAUUGUUAAGUUCGGUUAGGGUAAGAAAUGGUUAGGUUAGAUUAGGUUAGAUUCGACAUUGUUAAGUUCGGUUAGGGUAAGAAAUGGUUAGGUUAGAUAAGGUUAGAUUCGACAUUGUUAAGUUCGGUUAGAGUAAGAAAUGGUUAGGUUAGAUUAGGUUAGAUUCGACAUUGUUAAGUUCGGUUAGAGUAAGAAAUGGUUAGGUUAGAUUAGGUUAGAUUCGACAUUGUUAAGUUCGGUUAGGGUAAGAAAUGGUUAGGUUAGAUAAGGUUAGAUUCGACAUUGUUAAGUUCGGUUAGGGUAAGAAAUGGUUAGGUUAGAUUAGGUUAGAUUCGACAUUGUUAAGUUCGGUUAGGGUAAGAAAUGGUUAGGUUAGAUAAGGUUAGAUUCGACAUUGUUAAGUUCGGUUAGGGUAAGAAAUGGUUAGGUUAGAUUAGGUUAGAUUCGACAUUGUUAAGUUCGGUUAGGGUAAGAAAUGGUUAGGUUAGAUAAGGUUAGAUUCGACAUUGUUAAGUUCUGUUAGGGUAAGAAAUGGUUAGGUUAGAUUAGGUUAGAUUCGACAUUGUUAAGUUCUGUUAGGGUAAGAAAUGGUUAGGUUAGAUUAGGUUAGAUUCGACAUUGUUAAGUUCUGUUAGGGUAAGAAAUGGUUAGGUUAGGUUAGGUUAGAUUCGACAUUAAGUUCGGUUAGGGUAAGAAAUGAUUAGGUUAGGUUAGGGUAGGGUAGAGAGAGACAUUGCUAGGUUCGGUUAGAGAAAUGGUUAGGUUAGGAUAAGGUAGGGUAGGGUAGGGUAGACAUUGUUAGGUUCGGUCAGAGUUAAAAGGGUUAGGUUAGGUUAGGGAAAGGUUAGAUUGAGACAUUGUUAGGUUCGGGGAGAGUAAUUAGAAAUGGUUAGGUUAGGUUAGGGUAGGGUAGGUUAGGUUAGGGUGGAGGGAGACAUUGGUUUGGUUAGGUUAGGUUAGGUUAGGUUAGGGUGGAGGGAGACAUUGGUUAGGUUAGGUUAGGUUAGGUUAGGUUAGGGUGGAGGGAGACAUUGGUUAGGUUAGGUUAGGUUAGGUUAGGUUAGGUUAGGGUGGAGGGAGACAUUGGUUAGGUUAGGUUAGGGUUAGGUUAGAUUGAGACGUUGUUUGGCUCGGGGAAAGUAAUUAAAAAAGGCUAGGGUAGGUUAGGGUAGGUUAGGGUGAAGGGAGACAUUGCUAGGUUCAGGUAGAGUUAAAAGAAAAUGGCUAGGUUACGUUAGAUGAAAGUGAAACAAUGUCAGGCUCGGGUAGGGUAAGAAAUGGUAAGCUAGGUUAGGUCAGGUUAGGUCAGAGUAGGUUAGGUUAGGUUAGGGUGGAGGGAGACAUUGCUAGGUUCAAGUAGAGUUUAAAAAAAAAUGGCUAGGUUUUUUUUUUUUUUUACAACAAAGGAGACAGCUCAAGGGCACAAAAAAAAGGAAACAAUGAUAAAAAAAAAGCCCGCUUCUCGCUGCUCCUAAA